rnacentral:lncRNA from 10 species
CUCCACACUUACCCGCAAGCUGAGGGAGCAGCCUGCGGCCUUGGCCAGGCCAGAAAGGGGCUCCCAUAGUGCAGCGGCAGGCUGAAGGCCUCCUCAAGUGCGGCCAGAGUGGGCGCCAAGGCUGAGGAGGCCCCAAGAGCGAGCGAGGGCUGCAAGGGCUGCCAGCAUGCUGUCACCUCUCAUUUGGUGUCUGCCAUUGUUGGAAAUCCUUUGUCAAAAAUGGGAUGAGAAGGAAUGUAAAAGGGACAGCUACAGAAUUAUUUACACUAAGGAAAAAAAUAACUGAAACUUACAUUGUACUGACAAAAUCUCAGAAUUGACCCAAUAUGUAAAACAAAUAGGU